GGGCCACCCCAGGGACCUGCAGCUCUGUGGAGGUGAAGGCACAGGCACAGCCUGCCAGUACCCUACCAAGGUGCCAGAAUGGUUUUGGGGCAGGUUUUGCUCUCAUCUCUCCAUGAGAUGAGAUUAUCAGGGGCCGGAGGACACCUGUGGUGGGGCUUUCCCAGCUGAGGGGAAUUAAUUCAUUAGAGGGCGUGGAGCUGGCUUCCUGUGGAGCUGGUUUCCCUCCUUGUCGUCUGCAAUGUGUUGGGGCACAAGGCACUGGAAAUGGAGCUGGCAGGAAGGUAUGGUGGUGCCCAGAACUAUUUCCCUAUCACUUUCUUGCUUUAUGGUAUUCUGUCAGCAUUUUGAGCAAAUCCACCAAGCUGUGUUGGCUUCUUAACUACUUGCUUCAGCUGAAUCCAGAUCUAUGCUAGUGCUGCACUAAAGCAAUACAGCUUUGAGAUUUAUUUUUUUUUUGGUAUUUUUUGAAUUGAAGGCAACAGUUGAAGGACCUUGAGAGUGCUGGAGUCAGGAGAGAAUAAAUUCUUCAUAAGGUAAUUACAGUCUCAUCCCCUGUGCACUCUACAGGAGCAAGAGUAAAGUCAGUGGGAUUAUUCAACCAAAUUCAAUGGCAGCUAACAAAGAUUUAUGGGGUAAAAGAGCCUGCCCCUGUGAUGUUAUUCACCUUGGAAGCAGGAGUGGGUUUUUGAGGUUACAUCUUGCUCUCUUUUGUGUCUCUUGCAUUUGAUACAGCAAGCAGAUCAAAUAAGCAUCUCCAUGCUAUCCUGUGUUUCAGUCCCUCCACCCUGAGGACAGCCUGCUGGGAACACAAGCUCAUCAGGAAACUCUUGGAUGACAUCCCAAAAACAUUUCUAGAGAAUAGAAAGUUGGUCUGGCAGAAGAAUAUGUUUAACAUAUAAAUAAUGGAUGUUUCCAGCACAUUGUGUGCUGCGAAGCUGUGCGUCUUGAGUCCAAAAGGAGGAUGGAGUGUGCCCUGGUGGCAGCCAGAGGACUGAGAUGCUGUGUUGCUUUCGCCCCACAGCCUGCCAAUGACCUCGCCUCUGUGACAUGCUUUGGAAAUGUUCUUGAAGUUUCUGUGCGUAUCUGGAGUUUUGCCAAAUGGAGUCAUCAGCUGCCUGCUGCACUGCUACGAAACACGGCUGGCUCCUGGCCCCAAGGACAGCAGCACCUACCAGCCGAUGUGAGAGGCAGGACAGACACACCUGAGCCAGCCAAGAAGCACCGUAAGCUGGGCCAGGACAUGCCAUGCUACCAUGCCUCUGCUCAAGUUGCCACAGGUCAGCUGCUGUGCUGCAGUGCAUUUUGUAGGUAAACCUUUGGAGGUGAGCUUUUCAAUGUCGGUCUGACCAAGCUUUAGCUGUGCACCACCUUAUUUUCUUCGACAGCCCUGGUUUCCCCAAGAAGAAAAAGGUUAGACUGGAAGGGAGCUAUGGAGGGCUCCAGCUCAGCCUGUGAUCUGGACCACCAGGAGCCAGGACCCUGGGGCACACUGCAAAGUAAGCCUGCUCUGCAGAAUUGAUGAGCUUCAGAGUGUCAGUGUUUGCCACAAGCCUACUGUCUAAGACUUUUCCAGGAGGGCUACAUCUGCAUCAGAUGGGAAGCAUUAGGGAGUAAGAGGAGAGGGCUCACCCUAACCACUGGUUCCACCUUUAUCUCAAGGAUCUGAAAUAUAUCUCGACACAUGCUUAUCGUUAGUAACUUUCAUCCACUCUACUCUGUAGCCCUCAGCAUCUCUUCUUUUGUAUGACCUGCAUAGAUGCAAUGAAUACACUGGGUUUCCCGUGACAAUAGCCACAUUAUAAAACCAUUAGUUAUGGUACCCAGCAGUAUCUCUACACCCUUGGUGUUUUAUGUGUUGAACAUUUACCUGAGAAUUACAGAUGGAUUCUGCCGCUCUCUUAUCAAAGGGGAGUCUUGCCCUAAAUAGGCAAGUGCAGCAUCUUCCCUUUUCCUUCUCAAGAUUAGGAAAAUGGUUUUUCUUUCAGCAUUUGCUGGAUACUUUUUAUUCACUUGCCUCACACAAAGAGUGCAGCAAACUGAAAGCCUUCUCCUCCCACAUCAGAGACACAUUUGCAGAGCCGAGAUAUUUUUAGAAUAGUGCACACACAGAGUUAUAUUGUUUGUUGUCUUGGUUAGGAAAAAAAAAAAAGAAACAGGCGAUUUUCUAUACUAAAAUUAUUUGUGCCUUAUUGCUGGGGAGUAGAGAACUAGUCAUCUUGCUGAAGCCAUUUCAAAUCUUUUCUGUACUCUAAAGAUGACAAACAAAAUGACCUGGAACAUAUCAGAGCAGUCAUUAAUUCUGUCCAACAAGGCAAACUGUUUCUGCCAAUGUUAAGAGCCAAUUCAUCUCUAAUGGAUACAGGCACGGUUCUUCCAGCUUUCGAAGACUUGCCCAUUUCUUAUGCUGUUGCAGAGUUUGGCUCUGAAUUGCACUUUCUUAAAAGUCUUCCUGGAACAUCAUGCUGCUCAUGAAAACAUGCUGAAGAAAAGUCAUCUGAGUGUUUGUGUUACAAAAUAAUAAGUCAGUGUGGCCAGACUGGAGAUACAAGCAUCUCCCGGGAUGUCAAGUAACAAAGGGAGGUGAGACGGGCUGAAAGCCUGCUCACACCGCAGCCAGCUCCUGCACAGCCAGGACUCGGGCAGCUUCGUCACUCCUGCCACAAAUACAGUAAGCUGCUGCUGGGGGAGGUAAGGCCCAGGGAAGAGGAAUACAGAGCCCAUUUUCUUUUUCACAAAGCUCAUACACAACAAGAUCCUACUUUAUUCUUUAGCCCCUUCUGCGAUGCCACCCCCCCAAGCUAGCCCUCAAGAACACUAAAGCAAAAGAGAGGUGAAGUGAAUGUCCUUCUCGACCAAGCAGCUGGGACCCAUGAUUUGAAAGUGCUGCACAAAGCUGACACGGAUGGUUGAGCAGCUGUUGAGUUCCACUGCAAAAGAGUUUCUUUUGGUGAUGGGUGAAGCGAGUCCUAUCUUAUCUCUUUUCCCAUGGGACGAAAAUCCCAAUACAAAUAUAAGACAUACGAUUAGUGAGGCAUACCAUAUGCUUUUUAUAACCAGGAAAUUAGUGGUUUUACUUACAGCCCUAUAAAAAUUUGUAACUGUUAUUCUUGUAGUGUUGCACUGAGAUUUCUCUCUCUUUCCUGAGGAGCAGAUCAUUUACGGAUGUAUAGAAGGGGUGACUAUUUAACAACAGAGCUGGUCCUCAGAGACUUAUUCUGGGGUGACAUAAAACCAGCAUCAGCUUGCAGUUAUAGCAGAAAAAAAUCUAUGGACUUUGCUGGAGCUAAUCUAGGCUCUCACUGCUUCAUUUGAUCGCUAUGCCACUGGUCUUUGUUGUAGGGCCUCUGUUCUGCUCUUCACAUAUGACUCAAGAUACACUAAUGGUAGCCAGAGUUCCACACUCACUGGACAAGGAGGAACCACCUUUGUAGCAUCCAAGGAAAA